rnacentral:lncRNA from 1 species
GCGGGACUUCCGGUUUGGACUGAGGAAGAGAGGAAGCAGGAGAGAGUUAGUUUUUUGUUUCUUUUUUUUUUUUUUGCAAGGGGUAGCGUGAGGACAAGAUGUAGCUAUGUGCCUUCCAGUUUCAAUGGUGGAUCCUUUCGGAUGCACCACCAGAGGAUUUAGGUUUAACAAGGCUUACAAGAUUAAGAUUUUAGUUGCUGCGCCCAGCGAUUGAGUUACCUUCAUUUCUGAGCUAGGUUUGUGUUGUGUUUUCCUUCACGCAGCAUCUCGUCUGGAUUCAAGAGAGAAAGGAUGUGGAUAGAAAUGUGAUCUCUCAUUUCCCGGAGACAGCUGACUGCUGCCACGCCUCUCCUGCCAUUGUGGAAGCAUCCUCUGGCCCUGUGAGCACAGAUAAUUCUUCCUUUCAGGAGUUGCUUCUGGUCAUGGCAUUUUACCACAGCAGAGAAAAGUCGCUACUACAGCCUCAUCCCCUGUGUCCUCCUUGCACUUCAGCUGGGAUUCUGUUGGGUCUGUGGCCCAGUGAGUUUCAUCAGGGUUGUUUACAGGGAAAUGGCUGAGGGCAAGUUUGCUUUUUGUUCUCCUCAAGGUUCUAAGAUGUCAUUUCCUCUGGAAGAUCUAUGAUAACAUCCUGAACCAGGUCAGGCAAGAGUAGCUGCUUCCCCUUCCUUGUUAGCACUUAAGUUAUAGGCUAGUUUGAUUGUCUGUGUCUUCCUCUAGCCUAUGGAGUAUCUGAGGGCCAGGACCUCUUUCAGAAUAGCCCAGCCACAUGGCAGGAGAUGGGUGGGUACAUACGGGACAAGGGACGAUUCAGCCUGGCCAGUCAAGGCAGAGUGGGAACAAGGCUGGGAGGCAGCUGUGGCCCUCGUCCCUCUGGAAUUCCUGCUACUCAUCUUGCUUUGCUUGCUAGGAACUUCAGAAAUCAGUGUCCCCAUAGGAGAAACAAACCUUCCCACAGGCACUGGGGCCAGGCCCUAUCCUCUGGCGCUGCUUCCUAGCUGUGAUGGGUAACCUUGGUCACCAACUUGACUACAUCUGGAGCCAACGUGAGGGAUUUCUUGAGUGGAUGGUUUGAGAUGGAAAGACACACCCUAUCUGGAAGGAUACAGAAUGGGGAAGCUUUUUUUUUUUUUUAACCUUUUUACUCUUGAUGGCAAGUUCAUUAAUCUUGUUGCUUAGGCAGUCCUUUGCCAAUAUUAGAACCACACAGACUGAAACCAGAACCUCUCUAGGAGUCCUCCAGUGCGGGAUUCUUGGGCUUGGUCUUUCCAUCAGGAGAGAGUCAUUGCUGGGCCACCUGGACUAUAGUCUAUAAGUCAUGCUAAUAAGCUCCAUCACACAUACACACACACACACACACACACACACACACACACACACACACUCAUCUGCUCUGUUCUAUUAGAGAAGUCUAACACUCUUGUACCACAGUUUCCUUCCUGGAGGCAGCCCUGACUCUCCUCUGGGCAACGUGGACCAAGGCAUACUUUCAGUUGUCUAGAUCAAGCCUAAGCUGGUGGUUAAUAUAGAUUGCUCAUUUGACUCAUUUAGAAUCACCUAGGAGACAAACCUGUCUUUGAAAGAGUUCCUAGAUCGGUUUAACUGAAGAGGGCUGACUCAUGCUCGUCUAAAUGUCGUGGGCUGGGGUCUCACUGAGUAUGGAGACAAAAGCAAUCGGAUCAACAGCGUUCAUUUCUCCACGAUUUCUUCUGUGGAUGCAAUGUGACUGUCUGUGUCACACAUUUGCCACCAUGCCUUCUCUGCCAUGAUGGAACCUUCAGAGUCAGAGCAGAAACAAACUCUCCCUCCCUAAGUUGCUUUUGCUAAGUAUAUUGUC